CGCCAGUCCCUCCCUCCUUCCUCAGCUCGCUCAGACGCAAGGACCCCUGAACUGCAAGAGGAAGACCCAGUUUUGGCCGUAUCAUAAACCAGCACCCCAGCAGACUGCUGAUGUACUUAAACCGGACACAAAUGACUGAGGAAUGGGGCGCUGUGGAGGCGCAGGGUUGGUGGGUCUGCGAGUGCAGAAGUUUGAAAAGACAAAACGGGAAAUGCAAGCUGACGACGCUUACAGGAGCCCAAGGUGAGAGCAGAAACCGGUUUCAAGAUUUAGUCCAAAGGUCCCCUCCUCUCUAAGGAACUUCCGGAUUCCUCACCAGCCUGGAG